UACGUAGGGAGCUAGCGUUGUCCGGAAUCAUUGGGCGUAAAGAGCGCGUAGGCGGCCCGAUAAGUCCGCUGUGAAAGUCAAAGGGCUCAACCCUUGAAUGCCGGUGGAUACUGUCGGGCUAGAGUCCGGAAGAGGCGAGUGGAAUUCCUGGUGUAGCGGUGAAAUGCGCAGAUAUCAGGAGGAACACCAUGGCGAAGGCAGCUCGCUGGGACGGUACUGACGCUGAGACGCGAAAGCGUGGGGGAGCGAACAGG
rnacentral:rRNA from 1 species